rnacentral:rRNA from 1 species
AGAUUGAACGCUAGCGGGAUGCUUUACACAUGCAAGUCGAACGGCAGCGCGGACUUCGGUCUGGCGGCGAGUGGCGAACGGGUGAGUAAUAUAUCGGAACGUGCCCAGUAGCGGGGGAUAACUACGCGAAAGCGUGGCUAAUACCGCAUACGCCCUACGGGGGAAAGGGGGGAU